UCUGAUUUUCCUUGUCUGAUUGUAGGUCCUAAAACCCACUUCACUCCAGCGGUCCUAUGCAUUACCCUUCAAGGAAGGAAUGUCGAAGAGGAGGUCCGCAUAGCUUUCCCCAGCCAGUUGAUAUUUGGCAUAGCGGUAGAAAGCCGGCCAAUCCAGUGAUGCAUCCAGAGAGGACAAAGAGGGACACCCCCUCUUCUCCACAUCUCACAGUGUAAACGUCUUUACUGAUGGGUUUUUAUAAUCAUAUAUCCUUCAUAAUAAACCAGUUCAGUUCCGUAGGCCCUGUUACAACAAAGGCUGCUCUCACAACAGAAAGUACAAGUAGGUGGUCAACUUCAGUGGCAGCUAGCUGUACAGUACCAUCUCAGCGGGCACACAAGAUAAACAAGUCUUCAGGGCAUGGCUACCUUCACCUGAAUGCCAAAGAAUGGCCAAGGGUGUCUCAGGACCCAGAAAGGGAACAGUGAAGGUGUAGACUUAAUUAGAGUCACACAGCCCACUCAGAUCAUGUCCAGUGGAGCCAUGGGCUCCAUGAGACCUCAGGACAGAAGGGCCAUUAGCGUAUCAUCCCACUGUGAAAGCUACAGGCAUACAAUAUCAACAGAGCCACAAAAAUCAACCCUGGGCGCAAGCCCACCAACCAAGAAGCUCUAGAAGGUGUGCCCUCUACUCUGGUGAUCCCAAGAGGCAGAGCCUUGAGACAAAGAUUGUUUUCCAGGUGAAAGACUUUGGACCUUCUGAGAAUGCUUGACUCCUGCCUUCUUGUCUGCUUCUCCCUUUGGACUGGGAAUGCCCAGCUCUUGACUGUCCUGUAAGUGUAGUCAGGACACCUAUAAAAUGUCUGGUUCCAUGGGUUCACAGCUGGAAAGCAAUGCACCCCAGGAUAAACAGCACCUCGUACUGUUAUCCAUGGCUGAUUAAGUGAUACUGAGAAAAGACCUCGGAUGGCUGGAAUGUGGGUCUGGAGUGCCUGUCACUGGACUGUUGCAAUCCUAACCUCAAGUGGACGAUAGGAGGAAUAAUGGGUCUCUUCUGGGAAGUGACGGAGAGUAGAGACAUCAUCCAUGAGAUCAGUAGAUGAUCAAAGGCCUGGAGCUGCUUGGUCACUUCCACUGUGUGCAGACACAGUGCAAAAGGAACUGUUUGUACACCAUGAAUUAACUUCUCACCAGCCAUGGAAUCUGACAGCACUGUGAUUUGACAUCCCAGCUGACAAAUCGAUCAGAAAUAAAUUCCCAUUUCUAAGCCACUCAGCCUAUUGGAUUUGGGAUUAUAGCAGCCCAAAGUGAUAUAAGACUGUCCCUGCUCCCUCCUCUGAAUGCUUGGCAGGUCACCCCACUACCAAC
rnacentral:lncRNA from 1 species